rnacentral:rRNA from 1 species
CAACGCCGCGUGGGGAUGAAGCUUUCGGAGUGUAAACCCUUUCGACCCGGAAGAAUGCCCGCAAGGUUUGACGGUACGGGUAUAAGAAGCCCGGCUAACUACGUGC